rnacentral:rRNA from 1 species
GCCCAAGAGAUCGGGAUAACACCUGGAAACAGAUGCUAAUACCGGAUAAUAACAGAUGAUGCCUAUCAACUGUUUAAAAGAUGGUUCUGCUAUCACUCUUGGAUGGACCUGCGGUGCAUUAGCUAGUUGGUAGGGUAACGGCCUACCAAGGCGAUGAUGCAUAGCCGAGUUGAGAGACUGAUCGGCCACAUUGGGACUGAGACACGGCCCAAACUCCUACGGGAGGCAGCAGCU